rnacentral:rRNA from 1 species
AUUGAACGCUGGCGGCAUGCCUAACACAUGCAAGUCGAACGGUAACAGGUCUUCGGAUGCUGACGAGUGGCGGACGGGUGAGUAAUGCGUAGGAAUCUGUCUUUUAGUGGGGGACAACCCAGGGAAACUUGGGCUAAUACCGCAUGAGCCCUGAGGGGGAAAGCGGGGGAUCUUCGGACCUCGCGCUAAGGGAAGAGCCUACGUCUGAUUAGCUAGUUGGUAGGGUAAAGGCCUACCAAGGCGACGAUCAGUAGCUGGUCUGAGAGGACGACCAGCCACACUGGGACUGAGACACGGCCCAGACUCCUACGGGAGGCAGCAGUGGGGAAUUUUUCGCAAUGGGGGCAACCCUGACGAAGCAAUGCCGCGUGGAUGAAGAAGGCCUUCGGGUUGUAAAGUCCUUUCGUGGGGGGACGAAAAGGCGGGUCCUAAUACGAUCUGCUGUUGACGUGAACCCAAGAAAGAAGCACCGGCUAACUCCGUGCCAGCAGCCGCGGUAAUACGGGGGGUGCAAGCGUUAAUCGGAAUCACUGGGGCGUAAAGGGUGCGUAGGCGGUACGUUAGGUCUGUCGUGAAAUCCCCGGGCUCAACCUGGGAAUGGCGGUAGAAACCGGCGCACUAGAGUAUGGGAGAGGGUGGUGGAAUUCCAAGUGUAGCGGUGAAAUGCGUAGAGAUCUGGGAGGAACAUCAGUGGCGAAAGCCGGCCACCUGGCCCAAUACUGACGCUGAGGCACGAAAGCGUGGGGAGCAAACAGGAUUAGAUACCCUGGUAGUCCACGCCCUAACGAUGAAUACUA